rnacentral:rRNA from 1 species
CCUACGGGUGGCAGCAGUGGGGGAUAUUGCACAAUGGGGGGAACCCUGAUGCAGCGACGCCGCGUGGGUGAAGAAGCGCCUCGGCGCGUAAAGCCCUGUCAGCAGGGAAGAAAAUGACGGUACCUGAAGAAGAAGCCCCGGCUAACUACGUGCCAGCAGCCGCGGGAAUACGUAGGGGGCAAGCGUUAUCCGGAUUUACUGGGGGUAAAGGGGGCGCAGACGGCGAUGCAAGCCAGGAGGGAAAGCCCGGGGCCCAACCCCGGGACUGCGCUUGGAACUGCGUGGCUGGAGUGGCGGAGGGGCAGGCGGAAUUCCUGGGGUAGCGGUGAAAUGCGUAGAUAUCAGGAGGAACACCGGUGGCGAAGGCGGCCUGCUGGACUGCAACUGACGUUGAGGCCCGAAAGCGUGGGGAGCAAACAGGAUUAGAUACCCCAGUAGUC